UAUAAAAUUAAAGUGAAAAAUGCAAAGUUGCUUUUGUGAAAUGUGCUUAAAGGAAGUGAAUGUGUACAUUAAUAUAAAACGCAUAUUACGCAAUCAUUUGCUAUGCCCAUCCAAGCCAAUGCACGUGAGUCUUUAUGCAUUUGUACUCUGCCAUCCAAACAUACCAAACGCUUGACAUUAAGAAAACAAACAGAACUACUCGAGCGUCAAGAGAAAUAUGUCAUUACGAGAAUUAUGAAAUAGCAGGGAAAAACACUUAGCAGUAAAUGAAAAAUUAUACGUAUGUUGACAACAGGACACGCCGCUAAACAAACACACACACACAGGCACACAUAUUGCGAGAAGGCCAUAAAUUAGCCCGCAUGCAGGCAUCAGCUCCGAUUAGAGAGGGAUUGGCUACCAGUACAUCGUUAAAAGAAUUAAAUAUUUUACAGCAUUUAUUUAUAUGCUGGAGAAUAUCAGGAAUAUCAGACAGAUUCAAAUUAUAAAAGGAGUAACUGCAAGCGAAUUCUUAAAAGGAUUUAAUAAUCAUCUUUUUAUAUGCUGAAUAAUAUCAUGA